UAGUAACUGCGAGUGAAGCGGGAAAAGCUCAAAUUUAAAAUCUGGUGGCUUCUGGUCAUCCGAGUUGUAAUUUAGAGAAGUGUCUUCCGCGCUGGACUGUGCAUAAGUCUCCUGGAAUGGAGCGUCAUAGAGGGUGAGAAUCCCGUCUUUGGCAUGGACCCCAGGGCUUCUGUGAUGCGCUCUCGAAGAGUCGAGUUGUUUGGGAAUGCAGCUCAAAAUGGGUGGUGAACUCCAUCUAAAGCUAAAUAUUGGCGAGAGACCGAUAGCGAACAAGUACCGUGAGGGAAAGAUGAAAAGCACUUUGGAAAGAGAGUGAAACAGUACGUGAAAUUGUUGAAAGGGAAACGCUUGAAGUCAGUCGUGUUGACCGAGACUCAGCCUUGCCUUGGCUUGGUGUACUUCUCGGCUGACAGGUCAGCAUCAAUUUUGAUCCUUGGAUAAUGGCAAGGGAAAGGUGGCACCUUUAUAGGUGUGUUAUAGUCCUCUGUCGCAUACAAGGAUUGGGAUUGAGGAACUCAGCACGCGCCUCAGGGUGUCGGGGCCUUUUGGCUCACGUUACGUGCUUAGGAUGCUGGCGUAAUGGCUUUAAACGACCCGUCUUGAAACACGGACCAAGGAGUCUAACAUGCACGCGAGUGUUCGGGUGGAAAACCUGUGCGCGCAAUGAAAGUAAAAGUUGGGACCUCUGUCGUGGAGGGCACCGACGCCCGGACCAGACCUUCUGUGACGGCUCUGCGGUAGAGCGUGUAUGUUGGGACCCGAAAGAUGGUGAACUAUGCCUGAAUAGGGUGAAGCCAGAGGA
rnacentral:rRNA from 1 species